UACGUAGGGGCCGAGCGUUGUCCGGAGUUACUGGGCGUAAAGCGCGCGCAGGUGGCCCAUUACGCCCGGCGUGAAAGCCCCCGGCUCAACCGGGGAGGGUCGUCGGGUACGGGCAGCUUGAGGCCAGUAGGGGGAUGCGGAAUUCCGGGUGUAGUGGUGGAAUGCGUAGAGAUCCGGAGGAACACCAGCGGCGAAGGCGGCAUCCUGGACUGGUACUGACGCUCAUGAGCGAAAGCGAUGGGGGA
rnacentral:rRNA from 1 species